GCCGAGGUGGCGGAACCGGCAGACGCGGCGGUCUUAAACACCGCUGAGGGCAACCUCGUGAGGGUUCGAGCCCCUCCCUCGGCA
rnacentral:tRNA from 1 species